rnacentral:lncRNA from 1 species
GCCCAAUUAUAAAAAUUCAGUAUGUGAAAAAUCCACAAUAUUAAACUGCAAGUGCAGUUAUUUUACUACAUUUAUACCAGACAUAUAUUCAACAGUAAGAAUACAUAUUUUUUUCAUUUACGAAGGAACACUGUUUUGCUUAUUUUCAAUUUAUGAUUGUAUAAAAUAACUGCACAACAUACAUUGAAUGUCAUUCUAUUUCAAAUUAAAUCAUUAAAACACAAUGUCUGCAUGUCUGCAACCACCUUAAACCACAAAUUUAAACACAUAUUGGAUAAACAGGCUGAAUGACAGACUAGAAAUCAUAAUGCCAUUUUCAGAGAAAGAAAAAUAAAAUAAAUAAAAGACUUUUUAUAUGGAUUUUGUGAUUAUAAAAAACACCCCCCUCAAUCCUUCAACAAUUUCUGAACUUAAAGUCAGUCAUUUUGUCAUUGAUAUGUAACUUGGUUACUGUAAACAGUUUUUCUUGACAUAUGUCUAGAUGAACUUAUUUUAACUAAUAAGUAGUUAUGGACAUAUGUUUAGAUGAACUUAUUUGAUAACUAAUAAGUAGUUAUGGACAUAUGUUUUAGAUGCUUUUAUUACUGGUAAAUGACUGUAACUAGCAGUUCUAGACAUCACUCUGAACCUUGUUGGUACCAUCUUUAGAAGUAUAAUAGGCUGUUCUGGGUACUUACAAACUUAUCACUUUUUAAGUGCUAUAAAACAGAUUUUGCCCAACCAUACAUAGGUCUCUUUUGGUAAUAUACACCUAACGUUUUUAGGUAUUUGUACAUCUUUGUUUUUAAUGUUUGUGUUUGAGAGUUUCAGGUGUAGGUUAAAUCAGAAUAAAACACUUUAAAUGCAGAAAAAUUAUAAAGUGGUAAUUAUGUGUUUAAGUGUAUGUUUGAAAUUCAAUUACAAAUACUAUUUCAUAUUAAGCAUAAUAAGAAAUCUAUCAUACCAGUAUACAAAUAUACUGUUAAUUCCAAAAUUAUUUUGUACAAGUAAAAGAGAGGGAUAUACAUAAAUUAUACAGCUAUAUCAACUGUCUUAACCAAUAUCGACCCCAGAGACUGAAGUGCACGUGCUUUGUGCAAUUUGAAGAAAUGCUGAAAUCAAUUAAUGCAGUAAGAAAUACAAAUACAAUUUUUAAUUGAUGCCAUAACAAACAGGACAUAUUUUUCCCAAUAAGAAAAAUAUCUUAAAAAUUUCUAAAAUUACAUCAACAUAUAUCAGUAUGCAAAAACAUAGAAAAAUGACAACAAUAAAACAUUCUUAUAGUUUCCUCAAUUGCAUUGCAAUAGUUUUAUAUUGGGAUAUUGGUCUAUAUGCGUAAUAUUAAUUCUACCAGAUGUAAAGAAUAUUCUGAGUCUAUAGUGUAAAACAGUUAUUUAAUUUCUGAAUAAUACAAAAAUAUACUUUGCAUACAUUAUUCAGUUUUUGUGAAUUCUACCUCCUUUACAAAAUUACAAAAUGUCUCGUGAUUCUAAG